rnacentral:rRNA from 1 species
AAACCAGCACCUCAAGUGGUCAGGAGGAUUAUUGGGCCUAAAGCAUCCGUAGCCUGCUCUGUAAGUUUUCGGUUAAAUCUGUACGCUUAACGUACAGGCUGCCGGAAAUACUGCAGAGCUAGGGAGUGGGAGAGGUAGACGGUACUCGGGUGGAAGUGGUAAAAUGCUUUGAUCUCUCGAUGACCACCUGUGGCGAAGGCGGUCUACCAGAACACGUCCGACGGUGAGGGAUGAAAGCUGGGGGAGCAAACCGGAUUAGAAACCCGAGUAGUCC